rnacentral:rRNA from 1 species
CACGUAGGCUGUUGUGUAAGUCAGGGGUGAAAUCCCACGGCUCAACCGUGGAACUGCCUUUGAUACUGCACGACUUGAAUCCGGGAGAGGGUGGCGGAAUUCCAGGUGUAAGAGUGAAAUCCGUAGAUAUCUGGAGGAACAUCAGUGGCGAAGGCGGCCACCUGGACCGGUAUUGACGCUUAGGUGCGAAAGCGUGGGGAAGCAAACA